AAAUAAUUUUUAUGAUUUUAUGCUAUUACAAUAGUAGUAGUGCGUGUCUGUUUUCAAUGUUGUCACUUUGCUUAUGUAUAAAUAGUCGCACUGCUGAGGUACUGGUAAAAAAAAAACAAAAAUAUAAGAAAACUGAAAUGCCUGAAAUUCCAACGAAUGCUCUGAUCCGUGCGGUCCGUUUUCUUCUGAUGACGUUCACAAGAGGUCGUAUGAAUGCCGGUACCAAUUCCAUUCCCGCACCACUCAAAAAAUCCUAUGACGGCGGAUUCGAGUAUACCGUACGGAUUCACAUGGAUGUGCUGCUGCCUACGAUGUUCAUCACGUAAGGGCUGUGUUACUGUUAUUGAAAUCUCAUUUCAUGAAGACUAUUUACAGGGCGUGUGAUUACCUGCAUCAAGCUGCCUCCAGAACUCAUGUACUGCAGCUGGACAAACAGCACUUUUAACGGCGGAUACCGUGAAUCAAUCAGACACUGCCCGCAAGGAAGCCGGCACCAAACCACCUCCGUAGUCAUCUAUCGAAUGUGUCAACGAGAUCAAUUUCAUCGGAUUUACUGAGCAUUUCAACGGCAUGGAACAAGUCAUGGACUACAUUUCAGCGAGCAUUUCAGUGCCGAAGAGAAAUGGAAUUAUAAGAAGAAGCAAUAAGAUAAGCGUUUAAAAACGGAUGUAGAUACGUAAGUAAUAAGCGUCAA